UGGUAGGCCAUUUUUUUAUCUCGGUGGAAAAAUCAUCGACAGCCGAUGAAGUCAGUGAUCGGUUUAAAAUUUUAGGAUACUCGCCUUAUCUGUCGAAGGGAAGAGAAGACAGGAGCGCCAUCCCGACGGCUCGCCAUCGCCAUCUUCACUGACAGCGAUUGCUGCAAAUAACGAACGGCGGAGGUCUGGCAGAAAUCCGACAGAAGUCGGCGGUGGGUUUUUUUAUCCCUGUUGUUAACACAUCUUUUUGUUUAAACCCUAAACAAAAUGGGGAUGGAUUUUUUUUUUGUUUUUUACUGAAGGAAUCUGUAGUGUAUGAUUAGAAUACAGUGUUAUUUUGCUUUUGCAAAAUAAGAAGAAGGAGGGCGAUCUGGAGCAACAUCAGACCUCUUGUGCAAAAAGAUAAACAAAGGGAGGCGAAAGGUUCAGGAGGGAGAAAAGGAGGAAGGAGGGCGAUCUGAUCAAAUUUCUUCGGUUGGAAAGAGGAAGGAGGACGAUAGAACUAUUUUGGGAAGUAGAAAGAAAGGAGGAAGUGAACUUGUAGAUGUUCGACGAAAUGUCAGAGCGAUCCUAGCAUAACUAUGCCAAUGCACGCCCGCUCAUGCUAGCACACGCCAGUUCUACUUUUCAUUUUGUAACAUGCUAUCUAUUCGUUAUAGAUGCAUUCGGAAGUUGUUGAGGAUGUUAUAUUUGGCUUGGAAUCAGGCAUUUUAUUUAGGUGCUGCAUCAUGUCCCUCCCUUUUUUAUAUUACUUGGGUUUGUUAAGAUUUUCUGAUUCCAAGAAAGGACAUAUUUUGAAAAUAUAAGUUCUAUGCUGUCUUUUAAUUUCUCUUCAAA